rnacentral:rRNA from 1 species
GGGAUCGAAGAUGAUUAGAUACCAUCGUAGUCUUAACCAUAAACUAUGCCGACUGAGGAUUCUUGAAAUUUGUAAUUGAAUUUAAGAGCACUCCAUGAGAAAUCAAAGUCUUUGGGUUCCGGGGGGAGUAUGGUCGCAAGUCUGAAACUUAAAGGAAUUGACGGAAGGGCACCACCAGGAGUGGAGCCUGCGGCUUAAUUUGACUCAACACGGGAAAACUUACCAGGUCCAGACAUAGUGAGGAUUGACAGAUUGAUAGCUCUUUCUUGGUUCUUUGGGUGGUGGUGCAUGGCCGUUCUUAGUUGGUGGAGUGAUUUGUCUGGUUAAUUCCGAUAACGAACGAGACCCCAACCUGCUAACUAGACUGGUCUAUUUCACGAUAGAUCAGCGCUCCUUAGAGGGACAUUUCGGAUUUACCGGAAGGAAGUUCGUG